UGCUAGGCAAGCGCUCUACCACUGAGCUAAAUCCCCAACCCCGUGUAUCAGUUCUUUUGCUUCUCUUCCUGUUGAUGCAAAACUGUGUUCCAGUGGAUCCGUAGAACCCACAGUUCCGGCAGUGGCGCAUGGUUCUAGCAGUGCACGUUGAAAGAGAUGCCGAACAAACCGGUAGUUAUGGCCGCUGAGUAGGACAGUUAGACCUGCAGGUUCCUUUUUUUCUGGGCGAAGAAACAGUGCAAGCAAAAAGAGAAUGUGAAAGAAGUGUCGGAGGAACUUAAGAUGGUACUGUAUGAUGUUGAGAAUUUACCCGAUGAUUUCCAGGACGCUGUGAACCAUUGUGGGAAAGAAAGACACAGAGGAGGUGCUUCUUUAUUAUGAUCCAGGAAUCACAUGCAUCUGUCAGCUUUUUCCAUGCAACUGUCGUGUUUGCUGGCAAGUGCUUGAAAACUCAGAUAUUCUGUGGUUUCUCAGUGAGAUACACCAUUUCAGGUAAAUUCCCCCUGUUUAAGGUGAAUGAGCACACCUACCCCACCCCAGGCAUGUUGUGAAAUAGUUCAUCAACUCCAGUGUGCGCAAGAACAGAAUACUGUGUAUAAGAGGGAUGAUAACAGACGUCAGGAUGAGGCUCCAACUUUCUUGUCUCAGGGACUUAAAUAAAUUCUUAGGGAACUUUACAGAAUAUAGCUCUGUAUAAUCGAGGUAUCUUAUUUUCUAGAAAUACUGCAGCAAAGAACAGCUGUUAUAAUGGCCUGAACCACAGGAAUUUUUUCUUAGUUUUGAAUACUUAAUGUCCUAGAUCUGGGCAUCAGCAGAAUCAGUCCUGUUCUCAAACCCAUAAAGGAAGAGUCCGUUUCAAGUUACUUUAUUGGCUUGUAGAGAAUGUCUUCUUCCUGUGUCUGUUCACGUUUUCUCCCUGACUUCUUAUUUCUGUCCAGAUUCACCCUUUUAAAAAGACACAUUGUCUUGGACAAAACUCACCAGAAUGACAUCAUCUUGCCUAACUAGCUACACGUACACAUCCAUAUCCACUAUGACACUGUUUCCCAAUAUUCUACGGUGUGGACAUGAGCAGAAUUCAGGUGUUCAUUCAAUGACAUUUCAAAAUACCCAGGCAGGACAGAACUAAUCCCUAAGAAGCAUUUGACCUGUGAAGAAGUUUGGGUCCAAUGAACCACCAACUUCUCCAUUCUUUGCAGCUGACUCAGGAGGUCCUUGAGCUAAAGCUCCAGGCCUUCCUCAUGGGAUAGCGCAGGACUAAAAGAUGUACUGAGUGAUGGAUUCGGGGUUUACAUGAUUCUGAGACACCAGGACCGUACUGUCAUUGUCUAUCUAUGUGCUGUACAUGGAUGCAGAGAUAUACAAAUACUUAAGAUUGAGGAGUUGGAUGAGAAGUUCUAUGAAGACAAUGUGGAUGCCUUUCUCUGAAAUUCUGUAACUGCAGCCCAUGCAACGUAUUAAAGAAUAGAAAUACCACUUUCACGAAGCAAAGAAAAAAAGAAAGUUUAUAUUCUACAUGUAUAUAUGUGUAUCAUAUCACUUUCUUCCCCAAAGAAUGAAAACUGAUUUCAUUCACACCAAUAUGUUAUUUUCAAUUUGAGUCUCAUCGACUUUCACUAGGAAAUGUUGUUAUUUGUUUUACAAAGUAAUGCAAAUAUAUAUAUGCCUAUUGGGAUUCUAGUUUGUACUCUGAUGAGAUUUGUUCCAAAGGCAAGUUAGUCAGAAACAUGUGGAUUAAGUAUUUGCUUCAAGUAUGCAAGAAUUUAAAGAAACAGAAGUUUUAGCAUUUGGCAAAAUUCUCGACAAAAGUUUCGAAAAGUUAUUUGGCUCAAGUUAUGACUGCCUCUGCCCAGCCCUCUAGGAGAGCAGCAUUUGAUGUGUCUGUAGAAGGGAGGAAAAACAAUAAAGGUCAAUGCCGCUGUAUCUGCAGCAGGCGUGUCAGUUGGAGUUCACUAUUCUGCCAGGAGGACACAUUAUAUAUGUAUGCGUUGACAAAAAAGAAGACGCGUUCAAACUUCAGUAGCAAAGAUAUAAACUUGCUUUGGUCCUAGAGGUGCUUACACACAGAACACAGUAUAUUCUUUCAAUCAUACAUUUUUGGAAUGGGAACAGUGAAGAUUUUCACGUCCAUGGAGAACCCAUUUGCACGCCUUGUGGGGCUGGCAAAUGUGCCAAGCCUGCUACUAUGAAACAAUUGACAGGAAGCGUGGGGGGGGGGGAAAGCAAUCAUUUUGAUGGCAAGUUAAAAUCUCUGAAGUCCCCAGAUUGCUUCCUCUUUAGGGGCAGUGUAAACAGUAGGAAAUCAUGGCCUUGAAUGGAAAGCAAGCCCGACAGAUGUUGCCCAACAAGGAAGACUGGCUGUGGGAAUAGGCACCACGGCUGGUUGCCUGUGUGUUGAGGUAUAGGGGGUUCUGGCUGCUUAUAGUCAUACCCCACUUGGUCCAUCCUAAAUGAUCCUUCUUCCGAAAAGGUCACAGUUUAAAGUCAUAUUAAGCCAAACCUUUAAACAUCCCAGCUAAUGAUUUACCACAUAACGAUUCAAGAAAGCACAGGUGUUCCCAGCCUACCCUAGCGAAACCUGCCCCACAGGUUUGCCAAGAUGUGGUCUGGAUAUAAGUGUGUUUACCCAGAAUCCUCGGUAGCGGAAGUAGAUUCAAGGGCUGAAGUGUAAAGGCCAGGGAUUAGCUGAGAAACACUGGUAACAAUCCAUUGUCUUCCAUUUGGAGGCUUAUACCUUUCAACCUCAUACUCUAAAGUUCACUAGCAUGUUUGAGUUUCACAAUUCCCCGGAUUCCUGGCUGGUUAGCUGUCUUAGUAUAGAGUGUUCAGAUGAUUCACUAGGAUGUUUGCUUGGCAACUGUGUUGCCACUCAAAAUAUUCUAUUCAUUUCUCACCUCUAAAGUUUGUGCAUUUACAGGAGAAUUGUGGUAUCAAUUUCAGUUAAGAAUUUAAUGGAGAGAUUCAUUCAUUUCCAACUUCAAGUGAAGUUUUCUCUUUCUUAUAUAUUUUACCUAAUCUUUACUCUUAGAAAAAUAUCUAUUUUCUACCGCUCUCUCUUCAACUUGACAUCUGCUUUGUGGUCGUAUCACAUGAUUAUUUUUGGCUGAGAACCAAGUGAGGAGUUUGUUCAGAACACUGUAUUCAGAAACCCAAAGCAUUUGUCACAGACUGGGACAGGGAACAAAGCCAUUCCUAGAUACAAGAGCUGUCUAUACCGGUAAUGACCAGCAAGGGAUCUCUUGUUGCCUCUUUGAUAUCUGAGGAGUUCAUCUGUUUUUUUAUUCUCUCUCUCUCUCUCUCUCUCUCUCUCUCUCUCUCUCUCUCUCUCUCUCUUUCUCUCUGCAUACUCAUGUGUCUGUGUGUGCCCACAAGUCCAUGUCUGAUCUCAUUUUAAGUUACUCUCCUACACUCUACUUUUGAAGACAAGAUAUGUUUCUACUCCUAGAGCUCAACCUUUAUGACUAGAAUAUGUGGUUAGUAAAUCCCAGUUAUCCCCUGUCUCCAUCAACCAGCACCAUGAUUAUGGGAACACACAAUGAUGCCAGGCUUGCUUUUUUUUUUAUUUUUAGUUAAAUUAAAUUUAGUGUGUUUGGGGUGGUGCACAUGCCAUGUUGAGGACAGAGGACAACUUUCAGGAAUUGUUCUCCUCUUACACUUCAGCAUCCAGGGGCCUAGCUUAGGUCAUCAGGCUUGUGUAUCAGCCACUUUUACCCAGUCAGUUGUCUUGCCAUGCUCAAGAUUGCCUUUAUAUUGCUUUUUGGGAUUCAACUUAGACCUUCAUGAUUACACAACAAUGACUGUACAAUUCCAUCAAAAAUCCUUUCUUCUCUCAUUGGAAAUGUUAUUUUUAAUGUUAUUUGUUGAUUAUGCAAAAUGUAGAGAUUGGAAAAUAUAAAUGAAAGGAACUCUAUGGAUCCCACAGCUGUACAGGCUUCCACCUGAGCAAGAGUUGAUUAAGGGCAGAGUUUGAGUGCUGAUAGGACAUAGCUUGAUGGAAUGAGAGAACAUCCUCUCUGGAACUGGAGCAAUGGCUCCCAAUAGGAUGGGGUUUCUAAAUUCCAGGAGCAUCUCCUGUCCAUUUUGAGCCUGAACUGUUCAGUAAAGGAUUCUUCCACAGACCUCGGAGUCCUGGUUGGUUUGGAUGAAGUAAUGUAUUGCAUCUGAUGGAUUUCAGUUCUGAGGUCUUGUGAAGGGUGCUUAAAUUAAAGCAUGAUACUACUGCUCUAAUUGCAAAUUCUGAUGUUACUUCUUUGAAACUCAGAAUCAUCUCUAGCUUGUUUCAAGGAUGGAUAUAAUAAAAGCAAGCCCACUUUGUAAAUCCAAAAUAUGCUAAAAGUGUUACAAAUAUAUUAGAAUAUCGAAAUAUUAAAAACAUAAAUAUACGAGAAAGAGCACACAGUGAGUUCAUUGAUGAUUCUGUUUUCCACAGAUGUAAUAAGUAAUAUAUUAAAAAACAGAAAUGAUCUACUGUAACAUUUUCUUAUUCGGGAUGAGUUAAAAAACAAAUUUCUAUUUUUAUACCUUUUAAUAAAACAAAUUAUAUUUUUCAGUAAAGUAUUAGAAGCCAGCAAGAUCAUUGAGUGGUUAAGAACUCUGCUGAUCUGGCAGAGGACGCAGGGUUGGUUCCGAGUACCCACACUGAGUAGCUCACAGCACCCCUCAUCCCCAGCUCCAGAUAUCUGAUGCUUCCGGUUUCUGCAGAACUCAUGUGCACGUCCCACCAGAAAAGGCAUAUACAUAGAAUUAAAAAAUUGAUUUUGGAAAGUUUGAUGUUUUCAGAAUGACCACGUGUACAUUAAAGAUAGUUACUAGUAGGACACAUGAAUCAGAAGUAUUUGAUAGACGCUGAGAGGUUUUAGCUAUAAUUUAAUUUAGUUGUUCCUUUGCCAUUUUGUUGACGUUAAACACCUUAAGAUUUUGUUGUUGUUGCUGCUGUUGUUGUUUAGAGAGAAUGACCGACUGUGUGUCUCAUGGGAAAGACAUGGUAUUCAUCCAAAUAAGGACACUAAAGGAAUAAAGAAUGUAUUUCUACUCCUGGGAAGAGCCUAAACCAUAUGCCUUAGGUUUACCCAAUCACAUCCUCACUGAAGAAAUUCAGCCUUAAAUGUUCCCACUAAAUUGAAGGCUCAUAAAUUCUUCUGUAGACUCAUCCGCACUGAAAGUGGCUUUGUGAACCCAGCCACCUCAGGGAGUGUUUACAGCAGAAUGGCCACCUCUGUAGCUCCUGAUGUGUGAGAUAGACUUCCAGAGCCAGGCCUUGGUGAGUUUCCCUUUUAUCUUUCCUUUUUAUUGGCCUGUUUAUUCAAACUUUCAGGUCUCCUUCAAUCCUGAGAAUGACUUGAUGUCAACCCAACUUAUCUCUUGUUUUCUUAAGUUCUUGGAUCUGCUCUGUUGCUUGCAACAAACCUGAUCACACCUACACUCCUUUAUGCACACAACAUCUGCUGGUGUUUUUAUCUACAUAACCACUUAUCUUGUAUGAGCUUCAUGAUCUACUCUAUGUUUAUUUUAAAUCACUAUCGUUGCAAUUUACCAAUGAAAGCUUACAAAACAAAUUAUGACAUUCACUGAAUCUCAGUACGUCUGAAGGAUCACAGAACGUAAAGGAGCUACUUAUAAAUUAUGCUUUAAUUUAGGUAAAUAUAUCUAUAAAUAAUAUUAUGACCUUUAGCAAAAAUAUGUAGCUUUGAUUGGAAAUAAAUUGAGUAAGAAAGAGUCAGCCGGUAAAGAAAAUUACUGCCAAGUUGAUCAGUUCAGUUCUGUCUCCAAGACCCACAGGAUAGAAGGAGAGAACCAAUUCUUGAAAGUUGUUUUCUGGUCUAUAUUAACAUAUAAACACAUGUGUACACAGAGGGCAUGCAUGGGCAAGUGUAAGCAUGGAUGUGCAUACUAAGUAAAUAAAUAAAUCAAUAAAUCAAUAAAAAGAAAGAAUAAGUAAAUACAAUAAAUUAUUUUUAAACAGAAGCUAAAAGUAGCUGAACAGAGUCUACAAGGAUACUUGCUGUAGAAUUUCUAAAUAUUUUAGACUUGAAUAGUUUUAAAAAGUGGAUCAUAUUGAGCAGAUAUUACGACUUUGUGUGUGGAGGUAUGUGUGGGCUUGUGUGUGAAGGUAGGUGCAUAUUUUUGUGUAUGGGGCUGUGCAAGUACAUAUAAAGUUUGGGAACGAUAAUGCAGAAGUCAGAGUUCAGCCUUUUGUGUGGUUCCACUGGAACAGUUUAUCAUCAUUUCUGAAGCUAAGUCUCUUCUUGGGACUUGAAACUCCUUGGUUGUGCUACCUGUUUAUUAAGUCCUAAGAAUCUGUCUACUCCAAUGCUACCAGCACUAGGACUACAACUGCCUUCAAGCUUAGCUUGCUAUGUAAGUGCUGGGGAAAAAACUCAAGCUUUCAAGUAACAAAGUACUUACUAACCUAAUUGUUUGUUAGUGUUGAAAAGUACUAAUAGUUUUAGAUAUUUUUAAUGAUUUUAUGUUUUGGCUCACAUUUCAAUUUUCAAAUUAGGAAAUACAUAAAAAUAAUUGAAUAUUUGGCUAUUGGAGAACAACUUAUUAAUAAAAUAAUAUUAACCAACAAUAUUUUAAUAAGAAGGUUCAUAGCUGAGACACUUUACAUUUCUCCUUUUAUUCAAAAGCUGCUUGCCUUCACUCAAUCAUCUUAUGCCUCUGAAAAUUAUAUGGUUGCUUAUGUGACAAAAACCAUGAAUUGUAACAAUAACAUUUCCUGUUAUUUAAAGAUUAAGUGAAUUAAUAUUAUUGAGUCUAUAUUCUAGGUUGUUUAUUAUUGUACUAAUUGUGCCUUCCAUAUGUUGUAAAAAUUUUCAAAUGUUAAAGUCUUGUGAAUUUAUAAUGAGGAUAUUGCUAUCUGUAUCCUUAUAAAAUAGAAUAGGAAUAUUUUACUUCACUGUCUUUUUCUUAAUACAUUAUUGAUGAUUUUCUUUUGAGAUUAAACAUAAUUCUGUUUCCAGUACUUUGGAUUAAUUUUUCAUUAGCAAGAACUGACACCUGACGUUUAUGUUACAAAUAGGUAACAGAAUUCACAGGCCACUGAUUCCACUUUGAUGUCAAAUUUAUCAACAGAAAAAAAUCCUCUUUGGCUGAAUCUAGGAAAAGAAAAUGUUCAUAAGGGUGGUGAGUUUCCUAAGAAAAGACAGACGAAGCGGGGAAUUUAUUUCAGUUCCAAUUCUGAUCAUGUUUCUUUGUUUACUUGGGAGAUUUUCUUUGUGAUCCUGAAAGGGCUGUGGUUAUUCACUUUAAAGGGUAAGUAGACUUAAUGAAUCUCAUGUUUCUCCUCAGUCCAUGUGUUCCUGUGAUGAGACACACAAGCAGGUGUUUUCCAAACUGAAAAUUGCUCUGUUUUCCAAGAUAUAUUAAGAUUGAUGGUGGAUAAUACAUUUAAUUCAACUGCACACAAAUGGUUCAUUGGAAAGAGCUGAUAAGUGAGGGCAUGGCAAGGACAU